rnacentral:misc_RNA from 1 species
UUAAGUUCAGCGGGUAUCCCUACCUGAUCCGAGGUCAACCUUAGAAAGAUUCUCCCUGAGGGGAGGCAGACCGUGCCCCGUAAACCCGUGUGUCCGAUACGUGUCCCGUGAAGAACUCAGUGUACCGGGGGUCUAACGAGGCCGCCGUCAUUGUCUUUGGGAGGGGCAGAUGCCCGCAAGGGGCCUCCACCAAACCGUCC